UACGAAGGGGGCUAGCGUUGCUCGGAAUCACUGGGCGUAAAGCGCACGUAGGCGGAUUGCUAAGUCAGGGGUGAAAUCCUGGAGCUCAACUCCAGAACUGCCUUUGAUACUGAGGAUCUUGAGUUCGGGAGAGGUGAGUGGAACUGCGAGUGUAGAGGUGAAAUUCGUAGAUAUUCGCAAGAACACCAGUGGCGAAGGCGGCUCACUGGCCCGAUACUGACGCUGAGGCACGAAAGCGUGGGGAGCAAACGGGG
rnacentral:rRNA from 1 species